UACGUAGGGGGCAAGCGUUGUCCGGAAUCAUUGGGCGUAAAGCGCGUGUAGGCGGUUCGGUAAGUCUGCUGUGAAAGUCCAGGGCUCAACCCUGGGAUGCCGGUGGAUACUGUCGAACUAGAGUACGGAAGAGGCGAGUGGAAUUCCCGGUGUAGCGGUGAAAUGCGCAGAGAUCCGGAGGAACACCAGUGGCGAAGGCGACACGCUGGGCCAUACCUGACGCUAAAGCGCGACAGCAUGGGGAGCAAACGGG
rnacentral:rRNA from 1 species